CCUACGGGUGGCUGCAGUGGGGAAUAUUGGACAAUGGGGGGAACCCUGAUCCAGCCAUGCCGCGUGUGUGAAGAAGGCCCUCGGGUUGUAAAGCACUUUCAGUGAGGAAGAACGCCUGGUGGUUAAUACCCAUCAGGAAAGACAUCACUCACAGAAGAAGCACCGGCUAACUCCGUGCCAGCAGCCGCGGUAAUACGGAGGGUGCGAGCGUUAAUCGGAAUUACUGGGCGUAAAGCGCGCGUAGGUGGCUUGAUAAGCCGGUUGUGAAAGCCCCGGGCUCAACCUGGGAACGGCAUCCGGAACUGUCAAGCUAGAGUGCAGGAGAGAAAGGUAGAAUUCCCGGUGUAGCGGUGAAAUGCGUAGAGAUCGGGAGGAAUACCAGUGGCGAAGGCGGCCUUCUGGACUGACACUGACACUGAGGUGCGAAAGCGUGGGUAGCAAACAGGAUUAGAUACCCUUGUAGUC
rnacentral:rRNA from 1 species